rnacentral:rRNA from 1 species
GAUGAACGCUGGCGGCGUGCUUAACGCAUGCCAGUCGAACGAUGAAGCCCAGCUUGCUGGGUGGAUUAGUGGCGAACGGGUGAGUAACACGUGAGUAACCUGCCCUUAACUCUGGGAUAAGCCUGGGAAACUGGGUCUAAUACCGGAUAGGAGCGUCCACCGCAUGGUGGGUGUUGGAAAGAUUUAUCGGUUUUGGAUGGACUCGCGGCCUAUCAGCUUGUUGGUGAGGUAAUGGCUCACCAAGGCGACGACGGGUAGCCGGCCUGAGAGGGUGACCGGCCACACUGGGACUGAGACACGGCCCAGACUCCUACGGGAGGCAGCAGUGGGGAAUAUUGCACAAUGGGCGCAAGCCUGAUGCAGCGACGCCGCGUGAGGGAUGACGGCCUUCGGGUUGUAAACCUCUUUCAGUAGGGAAGAAGCGAAAGUGACGGUACCUGCAGAAGAAGCACCGGCUAACUACGUG